rnacentral:rRNA from 1 species
CAGUAGCCGCGGUAAUACGAAGGGUGCAAGCGUUACUCGGAAUUACUGGGCGUAAAGCGUGCGUAGGUGGUGGUUUAAGUCCGUUGUGAAAGCCCUGGGCUCAACCUGGGAAUUGCAGUGGAUACUGGGUCACUAGGGUGUGGUAGAGGAUAGUGGAAUUUCCGGUGUAGCAGUGAAAUGCGUAGAGAUCGGAAGGAACAUCUGUGGCGAAGGCGACUAUCUGGGCCAACACUGACACUGAGGCACGAAAGCGUGGGGAGCAAACAGGAUUAGAUACCCCAGUAGUCCCUGUCUCUUAUAC